rnacentral:rRNA from 1 species
AUUGAACGCUGGCGGCAUGCCUUACACAUGCAAGUCGAACGGUAACGGGCCUUCGGGUGCCGACGAGUGGCGAACGGGUGAGUAAUGUAUCGGAACGUACCUUUCAGUGGGGGAUAACGUAGCGAAAGUUACGCUAAUACCGCAUAUUCUGUGAGCAGGAAAGCAGGGGAUCGCAAGACCUUGCGCUGAUUGAGCGGCCGAUAUCAGAUUAGCUAGUUGGUGAGGUAAAGGCUCACCAAGGCGACGAUCUGUAGCGGGUCUGAGAGGAUGAUCCGCCACACUGGAACUGAAACACGGUCCAGACUCCUACGGGAGGCAGCAGUGGGGAAUUUUGGACAAUGGGGGCAACCCUGAACCAGCCAUGCCGCGUGAGUGAAGAAGGCCUUCGGGUUGUAAGGCUCUUACGGCCGGGAAGAAAUCGUAUCAGCUAAUACCUGGGGCGGAUGACGGUACCGGCAUAAGAAGCACCGGCUAACUACGUGCCAGCCGCCGCCGUAACAC